AUUGAACGCUGGCGGCAGGCCUAACACAUGCAAGUCGAGCGAGCGGCGGACGGGUGAGUAAUGUAUGGGGACUGCCCGAUAGAGGGGGAUAACUACUGGAAACGGUAGCUAAUACCGCAUACUAUCGGAUAACCCAUAUGGGAUUAGCUAGUAGGUGAGGUAAUGGCUCACCUAGGCGACGAUCCUUAGCUCGUCUGAGAGGAUGAUCAGGCACACUGGGACUGAAACACGGCCCAGACUCAUCGGGAGGCAGCAGUGGGGAACAUUGCACAAUGGGCGCAAGCCUGAUGCAGCCAUGCCGCGUGUAUGAAGAAGGACCUAGGGUUGUAAAGUACUUUCAGUCGGGAGGCGUUACCGACAGAAGAAGCACCGGCUAACUCCGUGCUAGCAGCAGCGGUAAUUC
rnacentral:rRNA from 1 species